GACGAACGCUGGCGGCGUGCUUAACACAUGCAAGUCGAACGGAAAGGCCCUGCUUUUGUGGGGUGCUCGAGUGGCGAACGGGUGAGUAACACGUGAGUAACCUGCCCUGGACUUUGGGAUAACUUCAGGAAACUGGGGCUAAUACCGGAUAGGAGCUCCUGCUGCAUGGUGGGGGUUGGAAAGUUUCGGCGGUUGGGGAUGGACUCGCGGCUUAUCAGCUUGUUGGUGGGGUAGUGGCUUACCAAGGCUUUGACGGGUAGCCGGCCUGAGAGGGUGACCGGCCACAUUGGGACUGAGAUACGGCCCAGACUCCUACGGGAGGCAGCAGUGGGGAAUAUUGCACAAUGGGCGGAAGCCUGAUGCAGCAACGACGCGUGCGGGAUGACGGCCUUCGGGUUGUAAACCGCUUUCGCCUGUGACGAAGCGUGAGUGACGGUAAUGGGUAAAGAAGCACCGGCUAACUACGUG
rnacentral:rRNA from 1 species